GUAGUCCACGCCGUAAACGAUGAAUGCUAGGUGUUAGGGGUUUCGAUACCCUUGGUGCCGAAGUUAACACAUUAAGCAUUCCGCCUGGGGAGUACGGUCGCAAGACUGAAACUCAAAGGAAUUGACGGGGACCCGCACAAGCAGUGGAGUAUGUGGUUUAAUUCGAAGCAACGCGAAGAACCUUACCAGGUCUUGACAUCUGAAUGACCGGUGCAGAGAUGUACCUUUUCUUCGGAACAUUCAAGACAGGUGGUGCAUGGUUGUCGUCAGCUCGUGUCGUGAGAUGUUGGGUUAAGUCCCGCAACGAGCGCAACCCUUAUGCUUAGUUGCCAGCAUGUAAUGAUGGGCACUCUAAGCAGACUGCCGGUGACAAACCGGA
rnacentral:rRNA from 1 species